rnacentral:sRNA from 1 species
CUCCAACUACGUUGGUGCAGGAUACUGAGUUUGAUGAACACACCAUUAAACGUGAGACUUCAGCAAGAGCAGCCACGCACAGUAAAGUUCAUCCGGCUGUGUGGAAACAUCAUUGGUUCAUCUGUCUCAUUGAGGUUAUGAACGACCCAAAGUUGCCUUCUGAUGCUGAAACAAUAAACAGACGUCCUGCCUCAAACUGGUAUAAACCUCAGACUUCCAUCUGGUUUUUAUCACACGGCGACAGAUCGGGCUGUCGGAAUUUAGCGAACUCUCUUCACGAAGCAAGAACCAGACCGGACUAUAGCUGUUUUACAAACUUUGAUCCAGACGGCACUUCCUUUCCGCCAUUUCCUUCCUCUAAUAUUUAUUAUACCUAUCUCCCACAAUUCCGGGAGUACCAGAAUCAGUUUCCUGUUCCUUGCUUUGUGCCGCCUCCGGUAAACAUCGGCAGAUACAAUUUCAAGCCAAGUCAAGUGAUUACGCAAACAAACACAAUAAGUCAAAGUGUUCGAGAAUCCAAAUAAUUGUCUUCGUGAAGUAAAUAAACAUCUUCCAGGAGUUUGAGACUACAAUGGACUUACAUUGGUUGAACCCCAACUGCCCUGAAUUUCUUUGUCCAAUGCGUAGGCUGGAGAACCUGCUUUGGAGAGACUAUGUCAAUGAAAAGCCCAACGUGGCACAUUUGCCCAGGCAGGUUUCACAGGCCGCCUAUAGUUCAAAGGUACAUGCGUCAGUGUCCAGUGAACUCUCUGUGUGCCGCAAGGUGUUCACCCUAUUUUUCACACUUUGACUGGUCCCCUUAUGAAGCUUCUUACUCUGGUCCAGAGCACAUGUGCUACAUACGUCAUCGAAACUUUGGCUAACAUUAGAAGGACAUCAGAACUUAGUGGCACAAUAACGUUAAAUGUAGUCCCUCUCGUCUGCUCAAGUUUACCGUAUUUAAGAUUGUUUGAAAUGUUGAAUUAAAAGAAGAGUUCACAUC